rnacentral:ncRNA from 1 species
CGCAAUGGUUGCUCGCCUUGGCGAGCAUCAAAAGGGAACGAGGUGUGAUUCCUCGACAGUACCCGCUGCUGUAAUUCCUCGCGCGCUUGGCGCGCAAGCCCCCCAACAACCUGCCACUGGUCUCGCGGCCGGGAAGGCGUUGGCCGGCCGGGAUAAGUCAGAAGACCUGCCAUUGUG